ensembl:snRNA Gm25404 predicted gene, 25404
GUGCUCGCUUCGGCAGCACAUAUACUAAAAUUGGAAAGAUACAGAGAAGAUUAACAAUGGCUCCUGCGCAAGGAUGACACGCAAGUUCGUGAAGCAUUCCAUAUUUUU